rnacentral:lncRNA from 1 species
GGGGCCGCGCCUCCGCUCCCGGAAGCCGCACCAGCCGCCGCCGGGCCCGCCGGUCACCGGUGUGUGAGUCAGGGUCCUGGCAGCAAGCACACUCAAGUGGAUUUGGGAAAGAGCUGGAUGAAGAGACUAUUUACAGAGGUGGAAGAAAAAUCUGAUGCAGCAGAUUCCCUCUGGAUAGAACCACUCAGGAGAGAAGGUCCUGGGGCCACUUUCAGUUGGCCUGGCUCUCUUCGAGCCCCAGUCAUCACCAUGGGCAUAGCAUGCUUCCUUUCUGGGCCUUGUUCUUCCAUCUGUCAAAUGAAAAUGAUAUCAUCCUAGACAUCCUUGACCGCAUCCCCUGCCUCCGACAGUGGCCGUGAAGAUCAAAUGAGAUAAUGGAUGAGAAAACUGAGGCCUGGAGAUGGGAAGGGACCUCCGAGGCACAUCAGCAGGAAAUGACUUUCCAGUUCUGGGGUAGUGAACCUGGGUCAGCGGCAGCAGGUGGCUUGGAGGAACCUAAAAUAAGAGGCACCGGAGAACAGACAAGCCUCAGGAAAGCAAUAUUAAACUUGAACAGGGCCUCAUAAAGGUUUCUGUAGUUGAAUCAAGUUAAAGCAAGUUUGGAUCCAAAGGUCUGGUGACUCUUCUAAACGUACUCACACAUCUGGAUAUUGGACUGAGUUCCAGUAGAUCUGUCCUUGAGGAUCAUCUGGGGACACACUUUUGUGCAAAAAAGAAAGAAAUGAUGAAUUAUCAUGUAGACGAUGUGAUCAGGUGUUCAUUAUUAGAAGGCAGAAUAAGACAGAGGCCAUAUUACCAGAUAAGGCUUCCACAUCAUCAGGGGAAAUGGGAUGUUUGUAUUUUGUUAUCUUUGAAGCUCAGGGCCAAAGCAAAGCUUGGAAUAUGGAAAGUUUUCACCAAAGUUGGCUGAAUGAAGGGAUGAGUUCUGGAGAAAUCUCAUGACUGGAGAAAGCCUCGCCGGUCACAACUCUUACAUCUGGUUUGGAAGAAUGUUGGUGGCAAAAUAAUAAACAAGACUUCCUGCAAAAACUUUUGACAUCAAGCUGACCAGAAACAUACCAGAUCCACGUUACCAGCUGGAUUAAAACCAAGGACAGGCUCAGCAGCAAUUUUAAUGGUUAAGAAUUAGGGUUUGGGGGCUAUGACGGUGGCUUGCCAGCAGUGCCUGAUUUAACCAUCCCCCUUUCCCAUAGAAAUACUCCAAAACACACAGUAAGACUUAAAAUUACAAGUCUGGAGGGAAUGACUUCCAUGAAUUAUUUGCCGGUCUCUGAGAGUGUUUUUUCUCUGACCGCAUCAUAAUGGGAUGAGAAGAAAAGAAGUAGUAAUACUGUGAGGUGAAAAGAGGAAAGGUGAGAGAAGCAAGAUUUUUUUGAGUACCAGCAGCAGAUGAGCCCCAUGAUAGACCCAUUAUCCACAUUGUGUCAUUUGAUCUUGGAACCUCAGCAUUUUGAAACUCUGUUUAUGGAUGAAGAGAUUCAGAGAAGUGAAGGGGAUUCUUGCCUGUGAGGAAGUAGUUGAAGCUCUAUUUUAAUGAGACUUUGUCUCACUCAAUUUUCUCAGGCUGUUUGACUCUUCAAGAGGUUUUAUUUGACGUUCUUAUUUGGUAAACAAUGUGCCGUGUGGAUGCAGUGAGUCACUUACCUUCUCUGAGCCUCAGUUUCUGGAUCUCUACAUCUGUCUCCUUGUAGAUUGUGCCUAGUCACCCUAGUCUUCCCUUUGGAUUCUUACAGAAAUCCAAUUUUCCUGAACAGGGCAGUCCUUUAAAAUUGUGAAUAUAAUGUGUUUUCCCCUCAUUUUUGGAAUCAUGUGGUUGCUCCAAAAGCAAAUGAUAUCUCAGGGCAUUAAAAGAAGUAUAGUGCCUGAAAUAAGGGAGGGAAUUUUUUUUUUUUCUGAUCAUAACACCUCCAGAAUCAAAGAUUCAGCUCAGAGACUAGGAGGUGUGAAAGAAGUAGAUGAAUGAGUAUGCAUUACAAAAAGAUCUUCCAUAGUACUGGUCUUGCUAAAAGAGGAAUAUAGAUGUAAAACAGACCUCUUUUUAUUCCUUUAAAUAGCUUUCUCCAGAGUUCCCUUUGAAACUAUACUCUUAGAGGGCAUAUGGAAUUGCACACUGAAAUCCCAGGCAACUUCAAGGCUAUAAAGGGAUAUAGCUGAGAAGUUGGGGAAUAUGUAGUAGGAAGUAUCUAAACUUUGGAGCUGGUCUUUUAGCUAUAAAAUGGAUUGGUAUCAAGGAAUUUCCAGUACCUACUGGGGCAUGACCUUGAGAAAAUGCUUUUCUUCUUUGGACAUCUAUUUCUUCAUUUGCCAAAUGAAAACAUUAGAUUAGAUUCUGGGAAGGCAGAUUGGUUUCAUCACAUAAACAUGGCCACUACAUGAAGCUUCAUGUGGAGAAGAUGUAUGAGACUAUGUCUGGGUUCAACAAUAAAGAUCUUUGUGAGUGAUGAAUGAUAAGUAGUCAAGGAAGCAAGUGACAGAAAUCCAAAUGGAACUGCUAUAAAUAAAAAGAGAAUGUAUUGACUCAUUAACACAGGUGCCUACAGGGAGAACUGCCUGAGACCCAAGGGCACACAUGUUGUUGGAGCUCUUCUCUCUCCAUCCCUGGUCUCCGUCUGACUUUGGUUGGCUCCUUUUCCCAAAAAGCCUGUUUUUACUGGAUGGGCAAUAUGGCUGCUCACAGCCCCAGCACUCACAUGCAUUUACCUUAGCAACCUCCAAGGAAAGAGAUAACUUUCCAGUUAACUUUGGUAGAAAAGUCCUGGGUGGCUUUUGAUUGGCUAGGUUCGGGUAAUUUGUCCAUACCCAAACUAAACAGUGUGGGCAGGAGAGAGGGUACUUUGGCUAGUCCUCAGUCACAUGUUCUCAGUCUUGAGCCAUGGGGAUUGGGCACUGUGAUUGGUAGCCCCACCUAGAUCUCACAGAAUGAGGAGAUCUAUCCUUUCUUUUCUGUAAAGCUUUUGAUUUCUCCUUUAAAUCUGAAUGAGAGCUGGGUAGAGUAUUCCUAAUUGUAGGUUUUUCCCUUUCAUCAGUUUAAAUAUAUUGUACCACUCCCUUCUGGCCUACAGAGUUUCUGCUAGAAAAUUACCUGAUACCCUUGGGGGUGUUCCCUUGUGUGGUAUUUGUUACUUUCUCCCUGAUGAUUUUAGUAUUCUCUCUUUAUUUUUAAUUUUUGUCAUUUUGAUUAGUAUGUCUUGGUGUGUUUCUUUUUGGGUUAAUCCUGUGUGGGGCACUCUAUGCUUCCUGUGCUUGGGUGACUGUUUCCUUUCCCAAGUUAGGGAAGUUUUCAGCUAUUAUGUCUUCAAAUAUGUUCACAGCCCCUUUGCCUUUCUUUUCUUUGUCUAGAAUCUCUAUGGUGUGAAUAUUAAUGUGCUUGAUGUUGUGCCAGUGGUCUCUUAAAUCUGUCCUUAUUUCUUUUCAUUCUUUUUUUUUGGUACAGUGGCAGUGAUUUCCACUACUUUAUCUUCCAGCUCACUGAUUCAUUCUUCUUCAUCUUUUUUUUUUUUCUUUUUCUUUUAGGGCUGUACCUGUGGCCUAUGGACGUUCCCAGGCUAGGGGUUGCAUUGGAGAGGCAGCUGCCAGCUUAUGCCACAGCCACAGCAAUGCCAGAUCCAGUCUACAUCUAUGACGUACCCUGAAGCUCACAGCAAUGCUGGAUCCUUAACUCAUUGAGCAAGGCCAGGGAUUGAACCUGUAUCCUCAUGGAUACUAGUUGGGUUCUUAACCUGCUGAGCCACAAUGGGAACUCCUGGUCCAUUCUUCUGUAUCAUUUAGCCUACUACUGAUUCUUUCUAGUGUAUAUUGUAUUCUUCAUAUGUAGUUGUUCUUUAUAUUUUCUCUUUGUUAAAAACUUAUAUUUUCUUGCCCUGUACAUCCAUUUUACCCUUGAGUGCUUUGAUUAUCUUUAUGAGCAUUACUCUAAACUCUUUCUCAGAUGGAUUGCCUAACUUCACUUAGUUCUUCUCUGGGGUUUUAUCUUGUUCCUUCAUCUGGGACAUAUUCCUGGGUUGCUUCAUUUUCUCUAAGUUGUUAUCCAUAUUUUUGUGUAUGUGGUAGAUUAGUUAUGUUUCUCAACCUUGGAGAAGUGGUCCUCUAUGUCCUAUGUAUCCCAGCAGUGCACUCCCCUCUUGUCACCCAAGCCAUGUGCUCUAGGGGUUCCCCAUAAGAGGCUGCGUGGGUCCUUUCGUUGUGGGGGCUGACUAUAUGAGUGGUCUGGUAGGCUUGGUUGAUCUCUUGUCUGGCUUGUUGCCAGGGCUUGCCUUGUGUGAAUGCUGCUGGCUGUUUUUUAUUGGGGCCUGGUCACAAGGUGGCUGGCUGUGGAAUCCUAGGGAUCUCUGGGGCUAGUGCUGGCUCGCUGGUGAGUAGAGUCAGGCUCCUGAAGACUCUGGGGCUGUGGUCCAGCCCCUGGCAAGUGAAGCCAGAUUCUCAGGUUAGUGCCAGACUACAGUCAAGCAGAGCUGGUUCCUGGAGUCUCACUGCAGGGGCCUGGGGAUACCAGAGUUUGUUUCAGAUCUGAGGAUGGGGGAGAGUUCCUGACACAGUUGAGCAUGGGGUCUGCAGUGUCCCAAAGGUUGCAUUGGCUUGCCUGUGGGCAGGGCUACAUCCCAGUUGGUCCCAGGACAGGGUCUGGCCUAGGCUGAGAGAUCAUAGUUUUCUUGCUUCUGGUGUCUGCUCCUGGUGAGUGGAGAAGAGUCUUGGUGGGCAGGGCCAUGUCUAGAGGUGGCUGUGGGGUCUUUAUUCUUUAGGCAGUCUGUGUGGCAAUGGGCGGGAUUUUGUCCUCACCCAGUUAUUUGUUUGUCCUGAGGUGUUCCAGCACUGGUGUCUGCAGGAUGUUGGAUGGACGAUGUCUUGGUGCUAAUAAGUCAAUAUGUCAGCAGCCAGGAGUUUGUAUGCUGCUGAAUGUUCCCCAAUAUGUCUGCUACUGGUGUCUAUGUCUAUGAGCCACAGCCACCCCUACCUCCCCAGGAGACUCUCCAAGACCAGCAGGUGUAGGUAUGGCCCACCCAGGCUCCUAUAAAAUUACUGCUUUUGCCCUGGGUCUUGGUAUGCAUGAGAUUUUGUAUGUGCCCUUUAAGAGUAAACUCUCUAUUUCCCCUAGUCCUGUGGAGCUCUCAAAAUUAAGCCUUGCUGGCCUUCAAAGCCAAAUGCUCUGGGGACUUGUCUUCCAGUGCUAAAUCUCCAGUCCAGGGGGCCUGACAUAGGGCUCAGAACUCUCACUCCUGUGGGAGAACCUCUUCACUGUAAUUAUUCUCCAGUUUGUGGCUCACCCACCUGGGGUUAUGGGAUUUGAUUAGAUCGUGAGUCUACCCCUCCUAUCGAUCUUGUUGUGGUUCCUUCUCUAGUUGUAGAAGAUCUUUUUUGGUAGGUUCUAGGCUUUUUAAUCAAUGGUUGUUCUGCAGAUAGUGUAAUUUUGGGCUACUUGUGAGGGGAAGUGAGCUCGUGAUCCUUCUACUCCCCCAUCUCCAUUGCUCUAGGUGCAUUCUCUCUCUUAAAAGACAACCAAAAAGCUAUUCCUAGCAGAGAGGGUUUGGGAGAGCCAUUUGAGCGGAAGAAACCCUCCAGCUGGGUGUAACAACACUUGUAUCAGUGGGAGGCAAUUGUUAUCACACAGGCCACAUAUUCUUCAUCACAGGAUAUGAUAAGCUCUCACAACUCUUCAAUUCUACCCUUAUGAGUAAAUAGCUCAAACAAACAGCACUGCUCUGACAUCCAGGAGGCCUACGUUGUACUCCCAGCGUGACUAAUACCAAUUAAAUGAAUGGUGAGACCAGC